UGGCUGUGAUGAUGAAUUCAUAUACCAUCAAACUAUGAAAGCUCUGUCUUCUUUUUGGGGCGAGCUUGUUGAUGUCACCAUGAAUUUUUCUGAGCCU